AUUGAACGCUGGCGGCAGGCCUAACACAUGCAAGUCGAACGGUAACAGGAAGCAGCUUGCUGCUUCGCUGACGAGUGGCGGACGGGUGGGUAAUGUCUGGGAAGCUGCCUGAUGGAGGGGGAUAACUACUGGAAACGGUAGCUAAUACCGCAUAAUGUCGCAAGACCAAAGAGGGGGACCUUCGGGCCUCUUGCCAUCGGAUGUGCCCAGAUGGGAUUAGCUUGUUGGUGGGGUAACGGCUCACCAAGGCGACGAUCCCUAGCUGGUCUGAGAGGAUGACCAGCCACACUGGGACUGAGACACGGUCCAGACUCCUACGGGAGGCAGCAGUGGGGAAUAUUGCACAAAGGGCGCAAGCCUGAUGCAGCCAUGCCGCGUGUAUGAAGAAGGCCUUCGGGUUGUAAAGUACUUUCAGCGGGGAGGAAGGGAGUAAAGUUAAUACCUUUGCUCAUUGACGUUACCCGCAGAAGAAGCACCGGCUAACUCCGUG
rnacentral:rRNA from 1 species